rnacentral:lncRNA from 1 species
CAUAUUUAUGUUUAAUGUAGUAUUUCCAUUUUUAUGUUGUAUGUUUUACUUAUAUUUAUUAUUUUAGAAAUUAUAUAUAAUGUUUUUUGUUUUUUUUUUAUAAAACGGUAAUGUUACAUUAUGGAGAUAAGCCAUCUUUUUUUUAAGUGAAAAAUAGUAAUCUUACAUAUGUUUAAUGUAGUUUUUCCAUUUUUUAAUGC